rnacentral:misc_RNA from 1 species
GGAGAGGAACCAACAUAACAAGCUUGCAGUCAAGGAGGUGUUGUGAAUGCCAAAUUGGCGUGGUACAUAUCUUUCCUCCACUUAUCAGUUGUAUGAUUCUUAAUAUCUUAGGUGCGCAAAUUGACAUGGCCCCCUAGGCCGAUGGGAACCCGAAGAAGAGGAUGUAUUUUGGGGAUUGGAAUUGGAUCAAUUUGAUGGUGUGGGAAGAAGAGGCGGAUUGGAGGCGUUUGAGCCCUUUGUGGUAACGCUUACUAAGGGACUCUCAUGGGUGCUUUUAAGUGAAAUUUCA